rnacentral:rRNA from 1 species
GGCAAACGGGUGAGAAACACGUGAACAUUCUACCCUCGAGUGGAGAAUAACACCGCGAAUGCGGUGCUAAUACCGCAUAACAUCUUCGGGUCGCAUGAUCUGAAGAUCAAAAGCGCAAGCUGCUUGAGGAGGAGUUCGCGCCUGAUUAGCUUGUUGGUGAGGUAACGGCUCACCAAGGCUGCGAUCAGUAGCCGGCCUGAGAGGGCGAACGGCCACACUGGAACUGAGACACGGUCCAGACUCCUACGCGAGGCAGCAGUGGGGAAUUUUGCGCAAUGGGCGAAAGCCUGACGCAGCAACGCCGCGUGGCGGAUGAAGGCCCUCGGGUCGUAAACUCCUGUCAGUGGGGACGAAUGCUUCGUAAGAAGUUUGACUGUACCCGCUGAGGAAGCCACGGCUAACUCCGUGCCAGCAGCCGCGGUAAUACGGAGGUGGCAAGCGUUGUUCGGAAUUACUGGGCCUAAAGGGCGCGUAGGCGGCUUGGCAAGUCAGAUGUGAAAGCCCCGGGCUUAACCCGAGAAUUGCAUCUGAAACUGCUUAUGCUUGAGUCCUGGAGGGGAUAGUGGAAUUCACCAGUGUAGCGGUGAAAUGCGUAGAUAUUGGGAGGAACACCUUGCGGCGAAGGCGGCUAU